AUGGAUGAUGCAAAUUUUAUUCUAUUUGUUAUUGGACAAAAUACAAUGAAAUCAAGUGAACCACAUUUUUUUUCUCCAAUGGAGUAAAUAUUAUUAAUAAAAUACAGUGAAAUCAAGUGAACCUCUACAUUGUUUCUGUAAUGACAUCAGUGUUCAACACUAACCUGCAGCCAAAAGCUACAGUUACAGAGUUACAGAAAAGAGCAUAGUUAAUUAUUAGUUAUUAUUAGAUAUUUUUUAAGAAAGUUCAAUGUACUCAGCAGGAUUAAAGUGAAACUGUUGAAUAUACUGUCUAAAAGAACUACAAUUAUCUGGUUCAAAGACUACCCAGUACUUAAGACCACAAACAAUUAGUUCCACCUUCCUUUAGCAAUAAACAAAUAUAAUUAAUAAAAUAAAAUAAGCAUUUUUUUUUUACACAACUUUGUCCACUUCAUAUCCCAAUGUAUAAGAAUGGACGGAUUAAAUACUGUAGUACAAGUGAAACCUUAAAUUGAUUACAAAACUUGAAUACAUAACUUAGAUAACAUUAGUUUUGUGACAAUGACAUGCGGAAAUAUUAAAUCAAUUUGUAUAUAUCUAAAAAUACAUUUUCUUUUCUAAACUUGAUCAAGUUGUGGUUUUUAUGCAAAUUUAGGUAGUAUAAAAAUAUCAAGUUUGCUUUGGUUUUACUUUUCUUAUGUCAGAAUAAUUGACAGUCAAACUGUUUAGAGAUUUUGAAUUUCCUCCCCAUGUGGGAUCCAAGAAGCUUUUUGAAAAUCUAAUGCUCAUCUCAUCAACAAUAUGAUGACACCAACACUCAUCUCAUCAACAAUAU